UGAAGAUAACAUUGACUAUUCCAAAAUAUGGAUGACUGAUCCAGUAAAUACUCUUAAACAUCACAAUUUACCAGAAUUGUUACCAAAUCUCAGGAUCGUCACUGUAGUUGAUGAGUUCGACAACUAUAAAUUGAAGCCAAGACAUUUCAGAAAAGUGAUCAACAAUAAUCCGAAAAUCAAAGGAGUCAUUGGAUUACAGAACAAGUGUAAGCUCAAUUUGAGACACGUCGAAAUGAUGGCAAUGAGCCAUAUGGUUAACUUCAAGAAAGUUUUUCGCUCUGAUCAGUUGAAACAAAUUCAAUUAAAAGGGCUUCAUGUACAUAAUCUUCCUGAAUACGUUGAAUACUUUCCGAAUUUGCAGCGACUCCAUGUUUGUCUCCUUGGUAAAUCAUUCAUGUCGAUUUAAUAUCUUUCAAGAUUGUUAGAUUAAUCAAAGAAUCAUUUCUACAGGAGAUGAGCGUUACAAUGGUCCAAAUUUAUCAAAGCUGAAGAUUCUUGAAGCUUAUGUAUCAGGAUUCGGUCAGGCUUGUGACAAAUUCAACGUGAUAGAUUAUUGUCCGUCUUUGGAAAGCGCUUUUAUUUGUGGUACUACAUAUGAGCAAAGAAUUGACAUUUCCAUAAAGAACUACAAUCUAAGAGAUUUGGUGAUUGACAUACCAUUGGUAGAUUACAUGAAUUGGUCAUCUAUCCGAAAACUGUUGACCAAAUUUCCAAAUUUACUCCAUCUCGCGAUCAGAGGAUCUCAAGAUGUUGCGGAUUGUCAUGUGGAAGAAUUGGUUCAACUAUUGCCACAGAUAAAGCUAUUGGAUUUUAGGGAAUCUAAUGGAAUUACUGUUAAAUCAGCUGAUUUCUUAUCUAAAUUCUGUCUCAAAUCUGAUCGAUCCAUCAAAAUCUAUUAUGAUUGUGAAAAUGAACCAGAUGACUGGCCCAAAUACGAUACACCUCAAGAAUCAAUUGUUUACGGAUUCAAUUUCAUGAAACAUUGUUUUUAUAAGUCUUUCCCCUACCUCCCAUUUCUAUUUGAUGAAUAAACCACGCAAAUUUCAAAUCUCAUGUUUCUGUAAUAAAUUCA